CCUACGGGAGGCAGCAGUCGGGAAUCUUGCACAAUGGGCGAAAGCCUGAUGCAGCGACGCCGCGUGAGCGAGGAAGGCCUUCGGGUCGUAAAGCUCUGUUGUCUGCGACGAAGGGUCCGGUCAGGAAAUGGGCCGGGCGUGACGGUAGCAGACGAGGAAGCCCCGGCCAACUACGUGCCAGCAGCCGCGGUAAU
rnacentral:rRNA from 1 species